CACUAAAAAGCUAAAUAGGGUACAGCGUUAGCCUUUUAAGCUAAAAACUGGUGACUCCCAACCACCUUUAGUGA
rnacentral:tRNA from 1 species